GGUGGAUGGUGAGCAAGGAGCCUCUCGGGUGGAGGGCGGUCAGGGGCACCUGUGAGAGGAGUAGUUGGGUGAGAAGGCCAUGUUGACCUCACCUCCCUGACCAGACCCCCCCCCGCGUUUUGGAACCGGGUAACCAGGCACCCGCAUUCCAGAGGCAGGCCUCUACAUGCUCACUUGGUUGGAGAUCAUCUAUCCAAGAGCAUGUUUUCCUGCUGCUUCCACAUGUCUGGAUGUUGCCGAGGGAGGACUGCACGCCCUGCCAGCAGUGCCACCCACGGGGAGUGUCCUGGCAGGGCUCCCCGACGCCUCUGGCCACUUAGAAGGAAGGGUCGAAAGGUAACACGGGACCCCAGGGCCAUCCCGCCAGCCCCACACCCCUCUGACCAGACCUUUGCAGCCCUGGGUCCCCUCCCCGAGGGUGCAUGUGGGAGGCGGCAGGGGUCAUGUGGCAUGCGAACGGGAGAAGGCUGAUGAGGGGUCAGAACCUGGUGGGCAGGUGGUGGUCACUCCCCAGGUGCAGGCUGGCUGAUGGGAUGGGGUGGGGGGGCCGUGCCCUUCGGCCCAGGGCUGACCCCGGCCCUGCAGGGAUGGGUCGCUGCGUCCCGGGUGCAGGGCUGUGCACACCCAGGUCUGUGUGUGAUCUGGGAGCACAGGGGGAGUGGGCAGGAGCACAGGGAGGAGGGCCGGGGAGCCCUGCCAGGACACUCCCCGCGGGUGGCACUGCUGGCAGGGCGUGCAGUCCUCCCUCUGCAACAUCCAGACAUAUGGAAGCAGCAGGAAAACAUGCUCUUGGAUAGAUGAUCUCCAACCAAGUGAGCAUGUAGAGGCCUGUCUCUGGAAUGCGGGUGCCUGGUUACCCGGUUCCAAAAAGGGGGGGGGGUGUCUGUCAGGGAGGUGAGGUCAACAUGGCCUCCUCACCCAGCUUCUCCUCACACAGGUGCCCCCGACCGCCCUCCACCCGAGAGGCUCCUUGCUCACCAUGCACCCUUGCCCUGUCCACAUAGUCUCACCCACACAGCCCCCCCACCCCUGGGCUCACCCUCAGGCUCGGCCUCAUGAGCUCCGCCUCUAGGAGCAGAGUCAGGUUCAGGACCAGCAGGGCAGUGACCAGGGCAGCAUCUGGCCAGGAGGACUUCCCCGGCCUUCUCCGGGCCCUGGAUCUGGAAACCCUUC
rnacentral:lncRNA from 1 species